rnacentral:misc_RNA from 1 species
CCGCCGCCACAACCACCAGUAGCUCCAGCUCCACCAGCUUUGUCUCAGCCAGCUGGUGUAAUAUCUUCUGCGGUUUCACCGACUCAUGGUCCAGACUUGCCAGAUAAUCCCACUCCAAUUAUAGAAGAAGCACGGGCACGGGCACCGGCACCGGCACCAACACUGGCACCAGCACUGGCAGGUUUAAAUGGAAGCUGUAGCAGUAGCACC